rnacentral:lncRNA from 1 species
AAUUCCAAUUUAUUUUUAAAACAACCGAUCUUAUAUUUUCCUCUACACAGGGUGAACGUUGCAAAUGAUAUAUCGAACAAUGAUUCUGAUAAUACGCAUCCAGUAAAUGAAGCAGAAAAUUCAUUCAUCGAAAAUCUUGAAACACAUCAGUCGAACUCAAAGCCUAAAAAGAAGAUAAAAUCAAAGUCACGUGACUUAUCGGUGAACGUUGCAAAUGAUAUAUCGAACAAUGAUUCUGAUAAUACGCAUCCAGUAAAUGAAGCAGAAAAUUCAUUCAUCGAAAAUCUUGAAACACAUCAGUCGAACUCAAAGCCUAAAAAGAAGAUAAAAUCAAAGUCACGUGACUUAUCGUAAGUACAAACCUGCAACUUUGUUUUUUAUAAAAAUAGGAAUAAUUUUAAAUUAACUGUAAAGCUUGGAAUAAGUAUGCAAUUUUUCCCUGCCAGGAAAUGUGAUAGUUUCAAGAAUAUACAAUUUUUUUUCUCUUUUUUUUUAUUUCAACAAUGGGCAACCUUGACUUUUUGCCGAUGGAUUCGUUGAAACUCGGUGUUUGGGUGUAUCUGAAUAGGAGGAAAACGAUAAACUGAUAAAAAAUACAUAAAAGAACAGAAAAUACAUUCGGAAUGCUGUAACCUUUGAGACAGGUACACACCUACAUUAAAUUGUGCCAUGUCUAGGAAUUAUUUCUACCGGUUUUUGAAAAGAGUUGAUCCGUUUUCAGCAUUUGCGAACUGAAUUAGUUAGUGCUAUGGAGAAAACUAUUUUCUCUUCGCUGCUACGACUCAUUGCUCCGGAGAGAAAUUUUUUCUUUUAUUGGAGGAAAAUGAUGAGUAAAUGAAAAAAUGGAACCAAUUGAUGGGAUAUGUCGCAUGCCAUUCUGACACAAAAUAUGGCGUCUACCGAAUCACCUUAACUAAAUAAAAUAACCAAAUUUUCAACUAUCAAACUAUCAAAUAUCAACUAUCAAAUUUCAAACUAUCAAAAUUUCAAACAAUGACAAAAAUGAUUGUAAUAUACAUAUAAUGUAAUGAAAUAUACACGCUCUAAUCAUUUAAUUUGUAUUACCUUUAUGUUAUGUACCUACAUGUUAUACUAUUUUUAUAAUAAAUUUUGCCAACAUGCUUUUCAAUUCAGUCUACAACAUUUCAUUCCGACGUGGCAAUAAUGAUUUAUAAUGCACCUAAUCCAUUAAAAUGAAUUACAAUAGUAAUGCAGCAUUAUAAUGUCGUAUUAUACAUCGCAAGGAUUCAUGUCCUACUGAUUAUUGAUUAUUGUAAGAUGAAUUCUGUUUUCUCUGAUUGUAUGUUUCAUACGUGCGAAGCAAGUACGGGUCACUAGAAACGUGGUUCGUACAGGUGGCUGAUGAAAUUGAUCUUCGAAUACCUUUUGAUGAGCUAGGGAAAUGGAACCAUCUGCAUCUCAUGGACAAUAAAUAGUUGCCGUAAUUAAGGUCAUCCCGUGAUUAAGGUGCCGUGAUUUAAGUCAUAAAUUCUUCAUCUAAUUCUUGAUUCAUCUCCAAAAUGUCUGCUAAAGCUUUC